rnacentral:siRNA from 1 species
GGCGUCGGCCUGUGGGCU